rnacentral:rRNA from 1 species
AGCGAACGUUGGCGGCGUGGAUUAGGCAUGCAAGUCGUGCGGAAAGGCUCCUUCGGGAGUACUCGAGCGGCGAAAGGGAGAGUAACGCGUGGAUAUCUACCCCCUGGCCUGGGAUAGCGGCGGGAAACUGCCGGUAAUACCAGAUAAUAUCUGCGGAUCAAAGGUGUGAUUCCGCCGGGGGAUGAGUCCGCGUCCUAUUAGCUAGUUGGUGAGGUAACGGCCCACCAAGGCUGAGAUGGGUACCGGGUGUGAGAGCAUGGCCCGGCUCACUGGGACUGAGACACUGCCCAGACACCUACGGGUGGCUGCAGUCGAGAAUCUUCGGCAAUGGGCGCAAGCCUGACCGAGCGACGCCGCGUGCGGGAUGAAGGCCUUCGGGUUGUAAACCGCUGUCAGAGGGGAGGAAAUGCAUGGGGGUUCUCCCUCAUGUUUGACCUAUCCUCAGAGGAAGUACGGGCUAAGUUCGUGCCAGCAGCCGCCGUAAAAC